ACUGGAUCACAUCCCUUUAACCCUAACGCUAACCCAACAGCCAAACCGAAACAAACCCAGCUCAGUUCUCCCCAAAUCUGAAGGGAACAAAAUGGACCGGUCUGCACCGGAAAAACUGAUCCUUGUGAACCGGGAGCCGGGAGGGAUCGCGUUCGUAACCAUCAACCGGCCGAAGUCGCUGAACUCGUUGACCAAGUCUAUGAUGACGGACCUGGCCCAGGCCUUCAAGGCCCUGGACCGGGACGAGUCGAUCCGGGUGAUAGUCCUGUCCGGGUCCGGUCGGGCUUUCUGCUCGGGUGUGGACCUGACCGCGGCAGAGGACGUGUUCAAGGGCGACGUGAAGGACUUGGAGUCCGACACGGUGGCCCAGAUGGAGCGUUGCCGGAAGCCCAUAAUCGGAGCCAUCGGAGGGUUCGCCGUCACCGCCGGGUUCGAGAUCGCGCUCGCUUGUGAUAUUCUGGUCGCUGCUAAGGGAGCCAAGUUUAUGGACACGCACGCUAGGUUUGGAAUAUUUCCUUCUUGGGGUCUCUCUCAGAAGCUUUCACGCAUAAUUGGUCCCAACAAAGCGCGUGAAGUUUCUUUAGCAGCCGUGCCACUAACUGCCGAAAUAGCUGAGAGGUUGGGCUUCGUCAACUAUGUUGUUGAAGAAGGUGAAUUGUUGAAAAAAGCCAGAGAAAUUGCUGUAGCCAUUGUGAAAAAUAAUCAGGACUUGGUGUUGAGGUAUAAGUCAGUCAUAAAUGAUGGCCUCAAGCUGGACUUGGGUCACGCCCUUGCACUGGAAAAGGUGAUUUUUUUUUUUUUUUUAUAGUAUAAAAUUAACAAUUCAGUUUGACUUUGGUAGUGGCAGUCUGCUCCGACCUAGCCUCCUGGUGUGUUUAUGGAUUCUGUUUCCAUUUUGUUCCUUGUUACCUUUUUUCUUCCAUCCUGUCAAUCUGUUUUUGCAGUUUAAGAUCUUUUGCUUUUUUUUUUUUUCCGUAGUAGGAGACUUUUACAUGAAUUUCCAGAUGGCCUGUUGUCUUCAUUUACUGUCUUUUGAAGCAUAUACUUAAUUACUUGCAUAAUUUCUGUAUAUGUAUUUUAAAAGCUCAUGUUUCUCGUAAGAUCGCUUUAUGGGUUCUAAAAUUAAUGCACUUUAUAGAUGAAUUGCAUGGCUCAUCUUUUUUGUGUCAUCACUUUAUUGUUGUUGUGGGGUCUAAAAUUAAAUGAGUUUUUUGUAAUACUCCAAAUUAGGAAUAGAACAAUGCUGAAUGAGAUAACACAUUGGUUGGGAGGGAAAACUUCUUGCAGUUUAUAAUGAUUCCAUGAGGUCAAUUGUAACAUUGACCAAUCCUUUCGGAACAUAAACCUAAAUAUGGCUUUGUUCUCCUAUGAUUGUUGUAAUUUUAGUAUAUCAAACUUAGAGAUGGAAUGUACAGAGCUCAAGUUUCUUGUAACAUCACAUUUUAUGCCUGUGAUCUUCAAAUUUCUUGUAACCUCACUUUCUCUGUCUAUGAUCUUUGAGAGCAUCUCAAAUUCGCAUUAUUUUAAAUGGUCUGAACAACCAUUGUACGAAUUAAACAAAAGCUUAUUGAGCUUGGAAUUCGUUUUUAGCUAAGCUAGAAGUAUUUGAUUGAAGUAUGUGACCAUUCUCUGCCUGGAUCUCACAGAGCAGGUAAGACUUAAAUUACACAACUCAUAAAACUCAGCAUCUAUAUGAGCUGUAAACAAGUCAUUACACGCGUCUACUAAGUACUGCUUUCUGUGAUAGAUUGUAUGAGUUCGUUGAAUAAUAUUUACAAUAUGUUUGCCUGUCUUCUGUGUUUGAUGACUGGUUGGAAUGUAGAAUCCGUUAAGAAUUAGGCCUCCAAUUUUCUUGUUUCUCCCACCAUAUUCUACUCAAUCAUGUGCAUUGUUAAUGCUAUUUUCAGGAGAGGGCUCAUGAGUAUUACGAUGGAAUGACCAAAGAACAGUUCAAGAAGAUGCAGAAAUUCAUAGCAGGCCGGAGUUCAAAGAAACCUUCUUCAAAGAUGUAGAAUUUACCCAUGUACCCGACCUCUGUCGCAAAAAUAACACCCACUGCCUCUCUUUUAGGUAGAAAUUCUGCAUAUCAGCUGUAGAAUGCUAUCAGGGUAAUAAUGGUGAAGUCCAGCUCUAAUGGCUAAUGGCAAUUUUUCCUCCCCCCUUCCUCCAAAUUCUAAACAACAUGAACAUGUGUUUUUAUAUCAAUAAAUGUUGGGUCCAAUUGUAAACUUCAAUUUGUGACGAAUUUGGUUGUGACAUUGUAAUUAUAGAGGAAGCAGCAAAACAAAGUAUUAAAACA